AGUUCAAGAGUACGUGAAACCGUUUAGGGGUAAACCUGAGAAACCCGAAAGGUCGAAGGGAGAAAUUCAUUCGCGUUUCGACGUAGGCGUGGAACGGGGUCGAGCGACGGGACACGUUCUUCGGAGCGAGUUUCGCGCCCUCCGUUCUUCGAACCGGCGACGAACGCGUGCACUUUUCUCCUGGUAGGACGUCGCGAUCCGUCGGGUGUCGGUCUACGACUUGCGGUGGAGCCCGUCCGUCGUUUCGUACGUACGGACGGACCCGCUCGUUCUGGCCGACUCGCUCGACGGUAUACGUGUAAGGUCGGAGGCCGCUCGUUUUUUUAGGAGCGUUCGACUCGUCGCAAGCGCGCCAUGUGCGUCGGCACGCGGACUCAGUGCCGCGUUCGACCUCUGGUGACUGUUGGCGACGAUGUUCUCGGACAGACCUCUUUUUUUCGAAAUAGACCGAUCGGCGACGCUAUAGCUUUGGGUACUUUCAGGACCCGUCUUGAAACACGGUCACUAAACCUAAAGGCGUAAUGAAAGUGAAGGUCUUCCUCGCGAAGACCGAGGGAAGACGGACGGUUAGGUCAAACCGCCCUAAAAAGUGGGACCGUCCUGCAUUCCCGGGGCGUCUCGUUCACAUCGCGUGAAGAGGCGCACCAAGAGCGUACACGCUGGGACCCGAAAGAUGGUGAACUAUGCCUGGUCAGGACGAAGUCAGGGGAAACCCUGAUGGAGGUCCGUAGCGAUU
rnacentral:rRNA from 1 species